UGGCUAUGAGGAUAACCUUUUUUGUAAAUGAAAAUUUAUGAUUGAUUUAUACGCUAUUCUGAGCCAUUU